rnacentral:rRNA from 1 species
AUUGAACGCUGGCGGCAGGCCUAACACAUGCAAGUCGAACGAGUGGCGGACGGGUGAGUAAUGUCUGGGAAACUGCCAGAUGGAGGGGGAUAACUUCUGGAUACGGUAGCUAAUAGCACAUACCACCGGAUGAGCCCUAAUGGGAUUAGCUAGUAGGUGGGGUAAAGGCUAACCUAGGCGACGAUCCCUAGCUGGUCUGAGAGGAUGACCAGCCACACUGGAACUGAGACACGGUCCAGACUCCUACGGGAGGCAGCAGUGGGGAAUAUUGCACAAUGGGCGCAAGCCUGAUGCAGCCAUGCCGCGUGUAUGAAGAAGGCCUUCGGGUUGUAAAGUACUUUCAGCGGGGAGGCGUUACCCGCAGAAGAAGCACCGGCUAACUCCGUGCCAGCCGCCGCGGUAAUUC